rnacentral:rRNA from 1 species
UACAGAGGGGGCAAGCGUUGUCCGGAUUUAUUGGGCGUAAAGAGCUCGUAGGCGGUUCGAUAAGUCGGACGUGAAAUCUCCACGCUCAACGUGGAGGGGCCGUUCGAUACUGUCGUGACUCGAGUCCGGUAGGGGAGUGUGGAAUUCCCGGUGUAGCGGUGAAAUGCGCAGAGAUCGGGAGGAACACCCGUAGCGAAGGCGGCACUCUGGGCCGGUACUGACGCUGAGGAGCGAAAGCGUGGGGAGCAAACAGG